UACGGGGGGGGGCAAGCGUUGUUCGGAAUUACUGGGCGUAAAGGGCUCGUAGGCGGCCAACUAAGUCAGACGUGAAAUCCCUCGGCUUAACCGGGGAACUGCGUCUGAUACUGGAUGGCUUGAAUCCGGGAGAGGGAUGCGGAAUUCCAGGUGUAGCGGUGAAAUGCGUAGAUAUCAGGAGGAACACCGGUGGUGUAGACGGCCUCUCGUGGACAGUAACUGACGCUGAGACACGAAAGCGUUGGGUAGCAAACAGG
rnacentral:rRNA from 1 species